rnacentral:tRNA from 2 species
CGGGGCGUAGCGCAGCCUGGUAGCGCGCCUGGUUUGGGUCCAGGAGGUCGGAGGUUCGAAUCCUCUCGCCCCGACCA